rnacentral:ncRNA from 1 species
AAUCAACGCGAAGGAUUGUUUCAACCAUGUGUAUUCACAAUUCCAUGUGGUCAUGGACGUGUUCAAGGAGUUCCACUAUGGAGGAUACCCCAUAGGUAGGCUUUGCCUGAUGCAGGUAACUGGCAUCUAAAGAAGGGCAGAAGAGAUGGAAAAUCUCAACCGAGCAGGCACGGUGCUGUGAUGAAACGCAAGAAAAUGGUAUCGCUAACUGGUCGCUAUCGCAAUAGAUAUAAGGUAUACUUAUUGAACCAAGUAGAGGAUAGUUUGGCAGCUAUGUCAAUCGCUUGGAGUGCCAUAAGAUAGUUGUCCAAUUGAUGCUGGUAAUCAGAUAUAAGACCAGACGCGAGUACGAGUAGCCCAAAGUUGGAAUAUAUUAGAAGAUAUUAUAAGAUUGAUAUGCUGAAUGGUGGGUGAAAGUUGUUGGUAGCCAAUCCAGCCAUAGAUUGACGUAAGUUGGGAUGGAAAGAUAUGGGGUCGCUCCCUGUGUCUCAGCUCCAUUUCCUAUGUGACCGAAUUACCACUACGUUUUAUGAAGGUACGAUGAAGAUCGGAGACAAUCUUUCGCGUUGG